CUGGCGGCGUGCCUAAUACAUGCAAGGUCGAACGGUCUUUCUAUGGAAGCUUGCUUCCACUGAGAAGAUAGUGGCGAACGGGUGAGUAACACGUGGGGUAACCCUGCCCAUAAGAGGGGGGAUAACAUCCGGAAACGGGUGCUAAUACCGCAUAGUUUCUUGAUCGCAUGAUCGGGAAAGGAAAGACGGCCUUUGUGCUGUCGCUUAUGGAUGGACCCGCGGCGUAUUAGUUAGUUGGUGAGGUAACGGCUCACCAAGACGAUGAUACGUAGCCGACCUGAGAGGGUGAUCGGCCACAUUGGGACUGAGACACGGCCCAAACUCCUACGGGAGGCAGCAGUAGGGAAUCUUCCGCAAUGGACGAAAGUCUGACGGAGCAACGCCGCGUGAGUGAAGAAAGGUUUUCGGAUCGUAAAACUCUGUUGUCAGAGAAGAACAAGUUGGAGAGUAACUGCUCCAGCCUUGACGGUAUCUGACCAGAAAGCCACGGCUAACUACGUGCCAGCCGCCGC
rnacentral:rRNA from 1 species